CAGAGCAUGUUAGGGUUUUCAUACCAUUUUACUUUCCACCUCCUGAUACCUAUCCUUCAUCUCACAUAUGUGAUACAGAGAGAUAGAUGUUAGAGCAGGGAGUACUCCACCGCCUCAGAGCGAGAGAAUGCUGCAAACGACGGCCGGAGGAAAGAGAGAGAUCGGAUAAGAGAAGGAAGGAAGACAAACAACGGCCGGAGGAAAGAGAUCGGAGGAGAGACGACAGCCGGAGGUAUGCUAGAUCGGAUGUUGCGCCGGCUCUUACACUGAUGACGGUCAAGCGGUUAGGGUUUCAAUCAACUUCCGUAGGUAACGUCCGGUGAGUUUCCGGCGAGGAUUCGGUGAACGGGCAGGCGAAGAUUCCGGUGAACAGGUGGAUAAUAAUGGGGUAGGUGAGCUGGGAGAUAGUGAGGUAGGUGGCGGCGACGGCGGCGGUGAAGCGGCUGUAAACUGGCAAAAUGCUCGAUACAAAGCCGAGGUACUGUCACACUCGCUUGACGAGCAGUUGUUGGCUUACGUGUCUUGUUUGCGAAUUGCGACUCCCGUGGAUCAGCUGCCCAGGAUCGAUGCACAGCUGGCGCAGUCACAGCAUGUUGUCGCGAAGUAUUCGGGGGUCUCGGUGGGCAGGGUGGUAAUCUUGGUGAUGAUAAGGAGCUUGAUCAAUUCAUGACUCAUUAUGUUCUGUUGCUUUGUUCUUUUAAAGAGCAACUGCAACAACAUGUUCGUGUUCACGCUAUGGAAACUGUUAUCGCAUUUUGGCAGAUCAAGCAGUCGUUAAAGAGCUUGACAGGUUUUGUGGCUUUGUUGGUUUGCAUUUCGGUUUGAUAUUUGUUCAUGUUGUUUGAUGAUGAUGAUGGUUGAAGGAACGGGUGCGACAAUGUCGGAUGAUGAUGAUCAAGUGGACAGGCGACGGUGAUGCGAAUUUGUUUGAUGGGAUGGGUUGUUUUGUUUUGUUUUAUACUUUUAUGUAUGGAGUUCAUGUUUUGCACAAAUGGAACAUAAAUGUUAUCGAGUUUUGAA